rnacentral:lncRNA from 1 species
GUUAACUUAUAUUUGUAAUAUUAUAAAAACAACUAAAAAAAAAACCAGCCCCCCCCCUCUUUUCCAUACCCCUAGAUGUAGAUUAUUUAUUUCAAAAUGAUAACGAAAUUAUUACUAUCUAUAAAUAACCAUGAAAUGUAACUGUUUCCUGUUACAAAGGGGGUUUGCUGAAUUUUCCUGCCAAAAAGCACAUGGCUUUCA